rnacentral:rRNA from 1 species
UGGGGAAUUUUGGACAAUGGGGGAAACCCUGAUCCAGCCAUCCCGCGUGUGCGAUGAAGGCCUUCGGGUUGUAAAGCACUUUUGGCAGGAAAGAAACGUCAUGGGUUAAUACCCCGUGAAACUGACGGUACCUGCAGAAUAAGCACCGGCUAACUACGUGCCAGCAGCCGCGGUAAUACGUAGGGUGCAAGCGUUAAUCGGAAUUACUGGGCGUAAAGCGUGCGCAGGCGGUUCGGAAAGAAAGAUGUGAAAUCCCAGAGCUCAACUUUGGAACUGCAUUUUUAACUACCGGGCUAGAGUGUGUCAGAGGGAGGUGGAAUUCCGCGUGUAGCAGUGAAAUGCGUAGAUAUGCGGAGGAACACCGAUGGCGAAGGCAGCCUCCUGGGAUAACACUGACGUUCAUGCACGAAAGCGUGGGGAGCAAACAGG